GCCGCAAGGUUGAAACUCAAAGGAAUUGACGGGGGCCCGCACAAGCGGUGGAGCAUGUGGUUCAAUUCGAUGCAGAGCGAAGAACCUUACCUGGGCUUGACAUGCUGGAAGUAGAAACCCGAAAGGGGGACGACCUGUUAAGUCAGGAGCCAGCACAGGUGGUGCAUGGCUGUCGUCAGCUCGUGCCGUGAGGUGUUGGGUUAAGUCCCGCAACGAGCGCAACCCUCACCCUAUGUUGCCAACGGUUCGGCCGGGCACUCUUAGGGAACUGCCGGCGAAGAGCUGGAGGAAGGGGGGGAUGACGUCAAGUCCGUAUGCCCCUUAUGUCCAGGGCUACACACAUGCUACAAUGGUCGGUACAGAGGGUUGCCAACCCGCGANGGGGAGCCAAUCCCAUAAAGCCGAUCUCAGUUCGGAUUGUAGGCUGCAACUCGCCUACAUGAAGUAGAAUCGCUAGUAAGCGCAGAUCAGCAGGCUGCGCUGAAUACUUCCCGGGCCUUGUACACACCGCCCGUCACACCACGAAAGCCAUUGUACCAGAAUCCCUGAACCAACCGCAAGGAAGCAGGCGCCCAAGGUAUGGUUGGUGAUUGGGGUGAAAUCCUAACAAGGUAAAUCCCGCCGCCAUG
rnacentral:rRNA from 1 species